rnacentral:rRNA from 1 species
ACGUAUGGGGCUAGCGUUGUUCGGAAUCAUUGGGCGUAAAGGGCGUCUAGGCGGGGGAUUAAGUUAGGGGUGAAAUCCCUGGGCUCAACCCAAGAACUGCAUCUAAAACUGGUUCUCUUGAGUUCGGUAGAGGAGAGCGGAAUUCCCGGUGUAGCGGUGAAAUGCGUAGAUAUCGGGAAGAACACCAGUGGCGAAGGCGGCUCUCUGGCUUAGAACCGACGCUGAAGCGCGAAAGCGUGGGGAGCGAACGG